rnacentral:lncRNA from 10 species
UGGAAAGGGAGGGAAGGAACUCAGGGGGUUUAGGGACAAGGAAAAGACAGCCUAGCCUGGGGGAACACCUGCGGGCUCCUGAGGCCUGGUAGAUGGAUUUAGAAGGACACAAAAGGGUCACUGGGCAGCUUUGCAGAGAGCUCAGCGUGGUGCUUGUCACUCCUCGUUUAUGUGGUUGCUCCAUUUACAUUCCCCCAGUGGUCCAGGCAGCUGCAGAGGCUGCUGGGUCUCUCUCACUGCUCGGGAACAAGGUGAAGUCAAAUGGAAAAGCUCUGAAGGAGAGGAGCAGGACAGCUUGGUGCACCAGUGGAGUGCAGGAAGGAAAGGAAAGAGAAUGAGAAAGCUGAGAGAAAAAAAGUCAUCAAGGAGAAAAAAAUGGAGGAAAAGCUAAUACACAGAAAAGGAGACAGACUCAAGAAAAAAGAAAAAGAAAAAGACAAAGAAACAGAGGGAAAAGGUAUCAUGCAUUUAAAAAGAUGGUGCUACAUGGUGUGUUGGAAGGCUAGUGACCUGUUAGGCACUUGGAAAAAUUUAUGCAGCUUCAAGGCUCAUCUCAAAAGCUAACUCUGAGGCCUUCUUGACCUUCCGAGCUGUGCCGGGUCUCUCCAUCCCCUGUGGGCUCAUUAGAACUUGGAUAUUCCUUUAAUGCAAACAACACAUGGAAAUAGAAUGGACAAUCAUUCCCAUUUAGUUGUCAGCUGUUCAAGGUCAAUACUUAUGCUCUGUUGAUCUCUCUAACCCUCUAGAUCUGGUGCCUGGCAUGCUGUAGCUACCAGUAAAUGAGGCAACAGUCUUCUGGAAGCUGCACUUCUAUUACACAUAUACUGAUGUUCACCAAGAAGAACACACCAAAAAGAUAAAUUUAGUUAACAUUGAGCCUGUGUAUAAAGAGACACACUGGAUAAAGGAUAUAAAUUUAGAUGUUAUAGCAUGGAGGAAGUAGGGGAGAGAGGAAAUGACGCUAAUUGAGCAACUAGUUUUUACCUGGUACAACACAAAGUCUUAAAUAUGUUAUCUAAUUCAGCCAUCAUCACAACCCCUGCAGGUAGGUAUUUAACUCCUUAGAUGGCUAUUGUAUUCUUUUCUCUACAGGCCCUAUUUUAGAUGAUAGACUCUGAUGGUGAACAAGAGAAGCAGAGAUCUCAUUGCUUGUUUAUACACAAUCUAGCAACUAUUCUACAGUUCAGACAGGACACGUGAAUUGACUGGCUUUACAUAGCUCCCAAAAAUUCACACACGAAUUGACUGGCUUUACAUAGCUCACAAAAUUGACUGACUUUACAUAGCUCACAAAAUCGACUAGGUUUACAUAGCUCAUUUAAGUCUGGCCUGUGUGGCUGUAAGGUCUACUCUCUUUAUGUAUUGUAGGUAACAUAUAUUCCAGAAGUAACCCAGGAAACUCUGAAAUUUUCAUUUUGCAACCAAGAAGGGCAUCCAGGAAAAGCUAGCAAUUCUGGAGCGUUCUGGGACCUCCAAAUAGUCUUUGGUGAUGUUUAACAGCCUCCGUAAUUUCAUCAGUUAGUGCUGGGUUCGGGAUGAGGCAUUACAUGGCGGAAGGCGAGGGAUGGUUCUCUGUCACUUUAAGUCCUAAAUUAUUUUCAGGUGUUUGUUUCGAGGCAGGACGGGGAGGCAGCCUGCCAUUUAGUGGAAAGGGUGGACAUGGCCUCCUUUAGACCUCUCAUCAGAGUUACUGUUUCGAGUAAUGAAGAAGCACGGGGAUUGAUUUGAUGCCUAAUGAAUAAUCAGCUGCCAUCAAUAAUUGUAAUCACUAAUCUGGUGCAAUUAGAGGCAAUUAUAAUAAAUGCAAUUUCCUCUCGUGCCACUAACGAACUACAGAAGUAUGAAUUGACUCAAGGGGGCUGGCAGUGAUUUAUGUGAUUGUGAGAUCAUGAAUCCCAUUAUCUUGGGAAAGACUCUUAAAGGGGCAGGGUCCUAUUCUGAUGUCACCGCUUCCUAAUGAGAAGCUAGAAAAUGCAAUUCUAGAGGUAAUGAGCACAGAGGCUACUGUAUUUCUCUCACAACUGGCUUUAGAUAAGGGCCUUGUGCAGAUUCAGCUGGGCUGCCAUGCAAAGGCCUGUUCCUUUAAGUUCUGUUUACUGUAGUGAUACACCUUUAAGUCUUGAAGAAUGAAGAUGAAAUAUUCCAAACUAUGCUGCACAAGAGGAUGUGAACAGAAACAUCUGGACGGAGAAGAUCUUUUUUAUAUUCAGCCAUGCCAAUUGACCUACUACCCUCUCCAUAGCCAAAGGAAUGCCCAAAUUUCCACAGAAAGGCAUUUUUAUGACAGGACAGUCCAGAGAGAACCAACAGCCUUUGCCUGAGCUCUGCUCCAGAGCUCCUCCAGCCCCGUGAUCAGGCACUAACUAUAACAACUGAACCGAUGGAAGUAAAUCCUACCCCAGCGGGGCACUGGCAGGAUUAAAGCAGAUGAAGAAGCUCAUCCCUGUGGACCUUUCUCUUGAAUGCCUACUAUGAGUCACUCAGCAAGAGAGGCACCCAGCUCCCUCAAGGUCUGCAGUGCCUCGGAGGUAUUCAUACUGAGCUUUCAUCCCCCAGGCCCACUUCCCUCCAUGACACAGUCUCUGAACAUAUUAUUCCUCACGGAUGAUCACCUUCUUAACUCCAUCCAGACGUGUGCCUCUGUCUCACUAUUUAGCGUUGUCCUAGAAAAUACUGAGUAAUUGUUUCAUGCGUAUACAUCAUGUUUCCUCAAGUAGAAUCUACCUUUAUACAAUCAAAAGUGUCAGAUUGAUGGAUGAGUAGCAGGUAAAUUUCUGAUAAAGAGAAUUAAAUUAAGUGUUAAUUGUAGAAUCUAGUGAUGGGUUUAUGGGUCUUAACUGUAAAAAUCUUUCAUCUUUUCUGUAUGUUUGAUAACUUUCAUAUAAAAAUAAUAAAAACUUUAGUUUAUCUUCUAUGUAAUUACAUGUUUACUUAAC